AGGUAAUUGAUGGGCUUUGGAGUGGCUUACACAUUGUAAUAGUUGUGUGCCUGUGUGUGUGACUCGGGUCAGGCGCUUUUUCCCUCAGCCCCGGCCCCCGAGCCCCGACGCGACAAAUCCAGUCGAGGUCGAAGACUCCGCGGGUGGGCGUGCAGCUGCAAGUCAAGUGUCCUCAGUCAUCCAUCGUCUCACAAUUCGGUCACUCUGAUCCGAACGACCCGCAGGCUCUUGUUCGUUAAUACUGUAAAUGGAUAUGGACGUAAACAUGCUGUUUUUGACGUUACUGAUGUGUUACAAUCCGUAUGUUUUUGGACUGUUUGAGGAUAUUAAUAUUGAGGAGGAUCUUUCUCCCGACUUUGAUUUGGAUAUUUCUCCGCGUAGAGUGCCUCGCCAGGUGAAAUCCAUGCUUACUAAGGAGACCAAACCACAUAUCCAGGAGCUGUCGGUGAAGACCACCAUUAUCUCCCGAUACGCCUUCACCGCGGUGUCGUGCACCAUGCUCAACCGGCACUCCGCCGCCGCGGAGGGCGUCUUCCAGUUUCUGAUUCCCAAGAACGCCUAUGUCUCGAACUUUACCAUGAUCAUUGGGGGGCGUGUCUACCCCAGUGAGGUCAGGCCCAAGGAGAAGAAGGUCAACCAGGGGAAGGGGGGUGAGGCCAAACCCAAGAACAAGGAGAAAGGUGAACAGAGUAGCGAACCAGAGGUGGAGGUGUUCAGGAUGGGGGCCAGUAUCCCAGGUCGUAACCGGGCCAUGUUCAUGCUGACCUAUGAGGAGCUGCUCCAGCGGAGGCUGGGGAGGUAUGAGCAUGUGACCAGCCUGAGACCCCUACAGCUGGUCAGCCGUCUCAGUGUGGACGUCACCAUUGUGGAUCACUCCACCAUCACCCACCUGGAGGUGCUGCCACUGCGCAACGGCAAGAGCAACACGGCCGUAGCCAGUGGUGCCAGUGCAGCGAAGACACCUGCCAAGCCUGCUCUUCCCGUUUCCACGGUGAUCAAACAAAAUAAGACGUUCUGUAGGAUCACCUUCAGCCCCAACAUCGUUCAGCAGGCUAAGAUCACCACCAGUGGCAUGCUGGGAGAGUUUGUGGUGCACUAUGACGUGGAGAGAGAGCUGGGGAUAGGAGACAUACAGGUUCUGAACGGCCAUUUUGUGCACUACUUCGCCCCAAAGGAUCUGCCGGUGGUGCCCAAGAACGUGGUGUUCGUGAUCGACACCAGCGCCUCUAUGCUGGGCAUCAAGAUCAGACAGACUAAGGAUGCCCUGUUCACUAUCCUGAGGGACCUGCGUCCAGGCGACCGGUUUAACUUUGUCAGCUUCUCCAACCGUAUCAAGGUGUGGCAGCCCAACCGCCUGGUCCCCGUCACGCCUCUCAAUAUCCGAGACGCCAAGAAGUUCAUCUAUAUGCUCCAACCCACUGGAGGCACCGACAUCAACGGUGGAAUACAGACGGGCUCCUCAUUGCUAAGCGGCUAUCUGAACGCCGACCCGGACGCCAACCACCACAGUGUGUCUCUCAUCAUCUUCCUGACAGACGGGCGGCCCACGGUGGGAGAGCUGCAGUCUCCCAGCAUCCUCAGCAACGCGCGGACGGCGGUGAAGGAGCAGUUCUGCGUGUUCACCAUUGGGAUGGGGAACGAUGUGGACUACAGGCUUCUGGAACGCAUGGCCCUGGAAAACUGUGGGAUGAUGAGGAGGAUACAUGAGGAUUCAGACGCUAGCACCAUGCUCAAAGGGUUUUAUGAUGAGAUAGGCACUCCACUGCUCUCUGACAUCAGGGUAAAUUACACAGAGGACUCGGUCCAGUACGUCACCCAGCACCUCUUCACCAACUAUUUCAACGGCUCAGAGAUCGUCAUCGCCGGCAAAUUGACCAAUCAAAGUGCAGACUCCCUGCACGUCCAGGUCACCGCCAGCAACAGCGACAAGAGCAUCGUCCUGGAGACAGACGUGGCGUUACGGCAAAGGGAGGUGGAGACGGAGAGGCACGUGAAGGAGGCGGCGGCCGGGGUGGGGUCAGGGGACACAGGGGCGGGCACGACAGGGUCAGUGGCGGAUGAUUUCGUGGAGCGCGUAUGGGGUUUCCUGAGUGUGAAGGAGGGGCUGAGGUCCAGGCUGAAGAGCCAGACCAGCAGGGAGAGAGAGGGACAUACCCAGCAGGCAACUGACCUCUCCCUGACCUAUCACUUCCUCACGCCCCUCACCUCCCUCGUGGUGGAAAAACCUCAAGUGCUGGCCGAUGGAACCAUGGCCGAGGACACACCCACCCCCACCCCUGUAACCACAGAGACAAAUAAGAAGGCUGCUUCAGCCAAUGAGCUGUCGGAUGAGACGGAAGGGGAGGAAGACACGGCCCAGAGCCUGCACUUGAAGAAAGACCAGCCGGGCGGACAGAGUUCCAGAAUUACCAAGACAACGGGUAAAGUUGUGAAGAGGCCAGUCCAAAAAUCUAUAACCAUCUCCAAAACAUCAGCGGACGGCGAUCCCCACUUUGUGGUUGAGUUCCCCCUCAGUAAACUGACUGUGUGUUUCAACAUCAACGGAGAGCCAGGACACAUUCUCAGAAUGGUAUCUGACCACAAGCACUCUGGUGUGACAGUAAACGGUAAGCUGAUAGGCGCCCCGGCGCCAGCGGGCAGCCACAAACAGCAGAGGACAUACUUCAGCACCAUUACCAUCGUGGUGAACCGACCCAAACGUUCCUACAUCGAGGUCACCCCCAAGAAGGUCAUCCUGGAUGGACAGGACCGCCUGGUCCUGUCCUGCGACACCACAGUCUCCGUGGAGAGUGGCGGGCUUGUGGUGACGAUAGUGGGAAAGUCCACCGUGACCGUAACCAUAGGAGGAACCAUUUGUUUCGUCAUACUGGUGCAUCAGUACAAGAACCCUGCUCCUUAUCAGAGAAACCACCUGGGAUUUUACAUCUCCAACAGCAAAGGGCUGUCACAUGACUGUCAUGGACUACUGGGUCAGUUCCUGUAUGAGGAAGUGGGACUCGCAGAGCUUUCUGGCAAUGCUACAGCAACAGGAGACCACAGCACGUCUUCACGGUCACCCAUCCUGAAGGUCAAAGGGCGUUCAGUGCCGGUGGUCCAGAAGACCCGGCGUAUUUACAGCGGACGUCAGAGCGUGGACUGCUGGUUCGCCAGGAACAACGCAGCCAAGCUGAUCGACGGACAGUAUGAGGACUAUGUGGUGUCUCACCUGUUUGACACGGGCGAUUGGCCCCACGGAAGUAACGGAGCCUGAAACAGGAGCCAAUAAGGAGCCAGCAAUGUACAUGUCCCACCCACACUGGAACAAUAACCCAGUGAACUAAUCCAUUGCGGAGGCCGAGACUAAUCCAUUGCGGAGGCCGUGGGGGUGGCACAGUCCAAGAAGAAGAGGAGUGUGGCUGCACGUCUCCCUCCAGAAUGGGCUCCUUCCUGCCAAUUUGUGUACAUUCAUUGUUUCAUAAAUUCAUUGUGUGAAUUGUUUGCAUUUGACUGUUAGUUUAUAUCAAUUUCCCAUUACAUACGUUUAUCACCAGUAGUACAUUUACAGUUCAUUCCUAUAAUAUCUAAUCUACAAAAGUUUGGUUGGUUACGGUAAUGUCUUUUAAUGCAUUAAAUAUAUUUUUUCAGAUUUUUACCGUUCUUAUUGUUGGAGGGGACACGUUGUUGCAGAGCGCAUAACCUAUGCUACACCUAUGCUAAACAAGUUUUGGUUUAUUUCAUUCCAUUUAUGAGUUUUGUUCAUUUAGUCUGUCUUUUGUUUGGAGCGUUCCUGUCGAUGUUGAGUAAGGACAUGCACCUGAUUAUGCAUAGAAGUAGGUCUAUAGGCUAUCUGGCCCGAGUGCAAAUGUAGGCAUAUAAAUGUGCCCAUUUGGGGAUAUGGUAGUAUUUCUGAUUGGCUUAAUGCACGAUCACUAAUGAGCUGUAGAGCUUCUCAAAGUAAUGUUUUCUUCACCUCAAACAAAGUAGGUUUUCACAUCCAUUGAAAAUGACAAUUCCUCAAUGUAUUUAAAAAAAAUCUUUCCAGCUCUCUCCCUUUCAAUAACCACUCAGCGUGAAAGGGAAAAUGGUAUGCUCUGAUCCAGUGGAAACAUGAAAUAGGCCAAACUGAUUACUUCUUAUCCCUUAAGCAAAUAGCCUACAGCUGUGUUUGUCCCGAGCUCAUUAGCAUGGACAACUUUGAGGGCCCAAGAUAUUUUAUACAAUGUUGCAAGGAGUUUCAGGCCAGACCCAAGUAAAUAGUUGAUACAAUGUUUCAAUGUUCGCUGCAGGCAGGCCAUGCGUAGCCAAUGUGUUUUAUUGGAUAUACUUUUACUUUUAUCAGGACAUUUUCUACCUGCAGGCAGCAAUGUUUUUAUUUGUUGGCUUUAUAGGCUAUUUUUCUAUUGUUGGAAAUGGCAAUAUAAGUUAAUUUUUAGGUUUGUAUUAUUUUCAUUUAGAUUUGAAUAUAAUUUUGAUUAACCACAUGACAAUGAUUGAGGUACGAAGAUGUUAUUAUAAAUGAAACUGUUCCACGAAAAUGUGCAUAUGAAAACUAUAACUGGCACGCAGAUCGGUAGAAAUGGUAAGAUAAAUGGUCAUUCCACAUGAGAAAUGUUGCCGACUCCUAGUGUAGGCUAUUACCGGCGACUUCAGGAGAGUAACGGCAGAAUCUGGAAAAACCAUUAGGAGCGGGAGGAGGUGAACUUUUUCUUCUGGUUAUCUUGAUCUCUGUCUCCCUCUUCAGUCAUUUGUGCCUUAUUUCAUCAAACGGUGAGCUUAAAGCAUCAUAUAUAUAUAUAUAUAUAUAUAU